AAUGGGAGAAUGACAAAUUAGAUUUUUUCUCCUAAUUUUUAGUUUUUUCCUCCUGAAAAAAAUUCAAAUCCAACUAAAAACACUAAAAAUUAGAAGAAAAAAUCUGAUUUGUCAUUCUCCCAUU
rfam:Gossypium arboreum cultivar AKA8401 contig_24385_5, whole genome shotgun sequence.